rnacentral:rRNA from 1 species
UACGUAGGGUGCAGGCGUUAAUCGGAAUUACUGGGCGUAAAGCGUGCGCAGGCGGUUUGCUAAGACAGGUGUGAAAUCCCCGGGCUUAACCUGGGAACUGCGCUUGUUACUGGCAAGCUGGAGUGUGGCAGAGGGGGGUGGAAUUCCGCGUGUAGCAGUGAAAUGCGUAGAGAUGCGGAGGAACACCGAUGGCGAAGGCAGCCCCCUGGGCCAACACUGACGCUCAGGCACGAAAGCGUGGGGAGCAAACAGG